UGGGGAAUAUUGCACAAUGGGCGGAAGCCUGAUGCAGCGACGCCGCGUGGGGGAUGAAGGCCUUCGGGUUGUAAACUCCUUUCGACAGGGACGAAGCGUAAGUGACGGUACCUGUAUAAGAAGCACCGGCUAACUACGUGCCAGCAGCCGCGGUAAUACGUAGGGUGCGAGCGUUGUCCGGAAUUACUGGGCGUAAAGAGCUCGUAGGUGGUUUGUCGCGUCGUCUGUGAAAUUCCGGGGCUUAACUCCGGGCGUGCAGGCGAUACGGGCUGACUUGAGUGCUGUAGGGGAGACUGGAAUUCCUGGUGUAGCGGUGAAAUGCGCAGAUAUCAGGAGGAACACCGAUGGCGAAGGCAGGUCUCUGGGCAGUAACUGACGCUGAGGAGCGAAAGCAUGGGUAGCGAACAGGAUUAGAUACCCUGGUAGUCCAUGCCGUAAACGGUGGGCGCUAGGUGUAGGGGGCUUCCACGUCUUCUGUGCCGUAGCUAACGCAUUAAGCGCCCCGCCUGGGGAGUACGGCCGCAAGCU
rnacentral:rRNA from 1 species